rnacentral:miRNA from 1 species
AAAUACAUCGCAAAUAUGGGCAAAGAAUAAGCAGUGCAUAUAAAGAAAAAUUUAGGUAUUUUUAUGCUUAUUUCUUUAUAUGCUCUGCUUCUUCUUUGGCCAUAUUUGCAGUGUAUUUA